rnacentral:misc_RNA from 1 species
AACGCACAUUGCGCCCUCUGGUAUUCCGGAGGGCAUGCCUGUUCGAGCGUCAUUAUCACCCCUCAAGCCCGGCUUGUUGUUGGACGCGGCGGUCGCCUUUGGUGGCCCCGCCCGUCUCAAAGAUAAUGACGGCGUCUGCGAGGACCCCUGUACACUGAGCUUUCGGGCACGUACUAGGUGUGGACUCCAGGCCCGGUCACCGUCCCCUCGGGGACAAAACUUUUAACCAGGUUGACCUCGGAUCAGGUAGGAAUACCCGCUGAACUUAA